AGGUUGGGGCGGUUGGGGCGCUGGUGGGGGUCAGGGGGGCAAAGGUUCGGCCGGCUGGGUCAACAGUGAGGUGACGGUCAUUGGUGGCGACGACGACAAGAAAGGGGACGGAGGAGGAGGGAGCACGGGCAUCAUUGGAAACAUGAUGACUUAUUUCAGAGGAAUGAGAGACAGAAUGAAGAAGGGAUCCAAAGGAGAUGACGACGAUGAGGUCAUUGUAAUGACCACUGGAAAUGGCGGAGAUGGUCAUGGAGGUGGUGGCGGAGGAGGUUGGGGUGGUGGUGGAGGUCAAGGGCAGACAAUUAUCAUUACAGAAGAGAAAGGAAAGAAGGGUGAGAGCAACAUCAUUGUUCUCGGCAAGGGAGGAGGAG